AACGAACGCUGGCGGCAGGCCUAACACAUGCAAGUCGAACGCGCGUAGCAAUACGCGAGUGGCGCACGGGUGAGUAACACGUGGGAAUCUACCCAGAGGUUCGGAAUAACCGCGGGAAACUGCGGCUAAUACCGGAUGUCCCCUACGGGGGAAAGAUUUAUCGCCUUUGGACGAGCCCGCGUCCGAUUAGCUAGUUGGUGAGGUAAUGGCUCACCAAGGCUACGAUCGGUAGCUGGUCNGAGAGGACGACCAGCCACACUGGAACUGAGACACGGUCCAGACUCCUACGGGAGGCAGCAGUGGGGAAUAUUGGGCAAUGGAGGCAACUCUGACCCAGCCAUGCCGCGUGGGUGACGAAGGUCUUCGGAUUGUAAAGCCCUUUCGGCGGGACGAUGAUGACGGUACCCGCAGAAGAAGCCCCGGCUAACUUCGU
rnacentral:rRNA from 1 species